AUUGAACGCUGGCGGCAGGCCUAACACAUGCAAGUCGAGCGGAGCGGCGGACGGGUGAGUAAUGUCUGGGAAACUGCCUGAUGGAGGGGGAUAACGUCCGGAAACGGGCGCUAAUACCGCAUACUAUCAGAUGAGCCUAGGUCGGAUUAGCUAGUUGGUGGGGUAAAGGCCUACCAAGGCGACGAUCCGUAACUGGUCUGAGAGGAUGAUCAGUCACACUGGAACUGAGACACGGUCCAGACUCCUACGGGAGGCAGCAGUGGGGAAUAUUGGACAAUGGGCGAAAGCCUGAUCCAGCCAUGCCGCGUGUGUGAAGAAGGUCUUCGGAUUGUAAAGCACUUUAAGUUGGGAGGCGUUACCAACAGAAUAAGCACCGGCUAACUUCGUGCCAGCAGCCGCGGUAAUAC
rnacentral:rRNA from 1 species